GAUGAAGAACGUAGCGAAAUGCGAUAAGUAAUGUGAAUUGCAGAAUUCAGUGAAUCAUCGAAUCUUUGAACGCACAUUGCGCCCAUCAGUAUUCUGUUGGGCAUGCCUGUCCGAGCGUCAUUUCAACCCUCAGGGCCCGUUCGCGGGAACUGGUGUUGGGGAUCGGCCUCCCCCCGGAGGUCGGCCCCGAAAUGCAGUGGCGGCUCUACCGCGAUCUCCUCUGUGUAGUAGCGAUACCUCGCAGCUGGAUAGUGGUGGUGCCACGCCGUAAAAUCCCAACUUUACCAAGGUUGACCUCGGAUCAGGUAGGAAUACCCGCUGAACUUAAGCAUAUCAAUAAGCGGAGGA
rnacentral:misc_RNA from 1 species